UACGGAAGGCAGCAGUGGGGAAUAUUGCACAAUGGGCGCAAGCCUGAUGCAGCCAUGCCGCGUGUAUGAAGAAGGCCUUCGGGUUGUAAAGUACUUUCAGUCGUGAGGAAGGUGUUAAGGUUAAUAACCUUAGCAAUUGACGUUAGCGACAGAAGAAGCACCGGCUAACUCCGUGCCAGCAGCCGCGGUAAUACGGAGGGUGCGAGCGUUAAUCGGAAUUACUGGGCGUAAAGGGCACGCAGGCGGUUAAUUAAGUUGGAUGUGAAAUCCCCGGGCUUAACCUGGGAAUGGCAUUCAAGACUGGUUAGCUAGAGUCUUGUAGAGGGGGUAGAAUUCCAUGUGUAGCGGUGAAAUGCGUAGAGAUGUGGAGGAAUACCGGUGGCGAAGGCGGCCCCUGGACAAAGACUGGCGCUCAUGUGCGAAAGCGUGGGGAGCGAAACAGGGAUUAGAUACC
rnacentral:rRNA from 1 species